AGCGAACGCUGGCGGCAGGCUUAACACAUGCAAGUCGAGCGGGCGUAGCAAUACGUCAGCGGCAGACGGUGAGUAACGCGUGGGAACGUACCUUUUGGUUCGGAACAACACAGGGAAACUUGUGCUAAUACCGGAUAAGCCCUUACGGGGAAAGAUUUAUCGCCGAAAGAUCGGCCCGCGUCUGAUUAGCUAGUUGGUAGGGUAAUGGCCUACCAAGGCGACGAUCAGUAGCUGGUCUGAGAGGAUGAUCAGCCACAUUGGGACUGAGACACGGCCCAAACUCCUACGGGAGGCAGCAGUGGGGAAUAUUGGACAAUGGGGGCAACCCUGAUCCAGCCAUGCCGCGAGAGUGAUGAAGGCCCUAGGGUUGUAAAGCUCUUUUGUGCGGGAAGAUAAUGACGGUACCGCAAGAAUAAGCCCCGGCUAACUUCGUGCCAGCAGCCGCGGUAAU
rnacentral:rRNA from 1 species